UACGGGGGGGGCAAGCGUUGUUCGGAAUUACUGGGCGUAAAGGGCUUGUAGGUGGCCAACUAAGUCAGACGUGAAAUCCCUCGGCUUAACCGGGGAACUGCGUCUGAUACUGGAUGGCUCGAGUGUGGGAGAGGGAUGCGGAAUUCCAGGUGUAGCGGUGAAAUGCGUAGAUAUCUGGAGGAACACCGGUGGCGAAGGCGGCAUCCUGGACCAUAACUGACACUGAUAAGCGAAAGCCAGGGGAGCAAACGGGG
rnacentral:rRNA from 1 species